UACGAAGGGGGCUAGCGUUGUUCGGAAUUACUGGGCGUAAAGCGCACGUAGGCGGGUCGUUAAGUCAGGGGUGAAAUCCCGGAGCUCAACUCCGGAACUGCCUUUGAUACUGGCGAUCUCGAGUCCGGGAGAGGUGAGUGGAACUGCGAGUGUAGAGGUGAAAUUCGUAGAUAUUCGCAAGAACACCAGUGGCGAAGGCGGCUCACUGGCCCGGUACUGACGCUGAGGUGCGAAAGCGUGGGGAGCAAACAGG
rnacentral:rRNA from 1 species